rnacentral:rRNA from 1 species
CCUACGUGAGGCUGCAGUGGGGAAUAUUGCGCAAUGGGGGAAACCCUGAUGCAGCGACGCCGCGUGAGGGAAGAAGUAUUUCGGUAUGUAAAGCUCUGUCAGCAGGGAAGAAAAUGACGGUGCCUGACCAAGAAACCCCGGCUAACUACGUGCCAGCAGCCGCGGUAAUACGUAGGGGGCAAGCGUUAUCCGGAUUUACUGGGUGUAAAGGGGGCGUAGACGGGAGGGCAAGUCUGGAGUGAAAGGCGGGGGCUCAACCCCCGGACUGCUCUGGAAACUGCCAGGCUGGAGUGCAGGAGAGGUAAGUGGAAUUCCUAGUGUAGCGGUGAAAUGCGUAGAUAUUAGGAGGAACACCAGUGGCGAAGGCGGCUUACUGGACGGUAACUGACGUUGAGGCUCGAAAGCGUGGGGAGCAAACAGGAUUAGAUACCCUUGUAGUC